GGGGGGGGGGGGGGGGUCACACAGGCAGUCGAGGUGACAGGGAUUCGUUCGAGUCAGUCAAUGAGCCAGAUGUUCUUGUCGUGUUGUCAUUUUUGUCAACGAUCUUCCCUGUACAUAAAGGUGCACGUCGGAAAGGUUUAUAAGGAGCUGCAGCACUGAAUUGGUUGGUGCGAGAUCGAGAGAAAGAUAGCGUUAUGUCUUUCGCAUGUAUAUUUUUUUUUUCUGUAACAUGUUUGAAACUGCGAGAAUGCGUGGUUGUUUCAUAUCUGCAGUUGUCUUGAGCACGGGCCGAGUGUUUUGCUUGAAAGGAGACACCGCUAUCUAUAACCAUCGGUGCACUAAUGCAGGCGGUCAAACGGAUCCUGCUGUAGCUGGAAGCUAAAAGCGCACGCGCAGGCGUAGAAGCUUCGUUGUUGCCUCUUUUUCCUCAAUGCUUACAAUGUAUAGUUGCGCUUGAAAUGUUGUUGAAGUGUUAAAAUAGUUGUGCUUUAGUGUGGUUAAAAUAUUUAGUACUUCAGAGUUUCCAAUCAUGAACUAUUUCCUUGUACAAGAGUGUGAGAGCUUCAGCGCCUACAACGUUCUGAUGGCAUGUGGAACGCUUCAUUUGUUUAAUACAGAAGUGCAAUUCCGGUGUAUUUAGCGUUUGCCUGUAAAGCACUCAAAAACGUGCUCAGCAGUUACGCGCGUAGAGUGCGCAUAUAAUAGUGUCCGUUGUUGAAACCUCGGUAACUGUAUCACCAGAAUGACAAUUUUUUUUUUCUAGUUCAAUUCCUUUGUCAGCACUGGUUGUCGUUGUCAGCUGACCUUUUUUUCCCCCGAUAUAUGUCCCGAAUCCGUGAUCCAGAACAGAUUGUUAAGGUGGUUAAGACCGCUGGAAACGAUUCCAGCAAACCACGUGCAUUGUAUUUCUGCAACGUACGGCACCGGUUCUGAACUUGCAAUAUAUACCACCCCGUGACUAUGCGCUCUUUGGCGAAUAGCGCAUGUGCAGGGACGAGGCGUAAAAAAGAAGGAAAAAGAAAGAAAAAGAAAAGCAGUUCACGCAGUGCUAGAGCUCCGAGGCGUAAAUGUUAUGUUUUCUGGCGGAGGCUAUAUAGUGCCCUGUAUCUAGUAAUAUUGACGGAACUGUUACCAGAAAUACCUCCCAGUGCAACCACGUUAGCCCUAUGCCAUCAGGCUUUUAUAGCGUAUAAAUGGUAAAACGAACAGGUGUACGAGCGAAACAACAUUGGCUUGCCAAGACAUGAUGCUCAUCCAGUCGUCAGCUGAGUGAGCUUUGUUACUGAACACGUCUUUUAUGGCAUCCAUUGGUGCAACCAGCACCUGUCGUUGUUAGGGCACCAAGAGAGUUGCUCUGUUUGUCCACUAGACACCCGCUUAUACAAGCGCAGGCUUCCACGAGAGCUAAUGUUUUAUUUGUACGCGUACGUUGGCCGCUUGUUUUGGCACGGGAGUCAUAAGUUCGCAAGAAACGUUGCCACGUGGACAACUUUUUGCAGCAAACAUGAAAGUGGUGCAUUGGCUUCAUACACUCUGCAUCGACUUUCCGUUUGUCAAGAACUAUACGCUUAAUUCAUCGUACAAGAACGUAUAAUCGUGUAGAUUUAGUUCUUCGCCCGAGUGACAUGGAGGCCUCUUUGCGCUCUUCGUGAACGUUCAGUUGCUGUGAAUGGCUGCUGAAAGUUAAUGUGCGAAUUUAGCGUUGUAUCAAAAUGGGGGCAUGACAUUUUGCUUGUUUUUUGUAAGGGCAGCCGAUUGCUACAGUUCUUGUCAUAAUACAGUUGGCGCUCAAAAUACAGACAUUUGUGCUAAUCGCUUCACUGUUUAGUGGCACGUGACAAACUAUAGCAUGUCACACGUCUUGCCAGAUAUUUUGCUAGACUUCAGGUAACUUUGUUGAGUUGCAAUCAAUUAAGCUGCGGCACGCUCGUGAUUUCCCAGAUGUCAGCAGCCACGUCUCCUCGUGUGAGCACACUUGUGAGCGUGCCCCCUACAUUUGUGUCCCGUUGUGCGCAUGCAUGCGCCGAGUCGUCGUGUUAUACAUAGGUGCACUCAGUUCCUGGCGUCUUCGUCGCAACAAGUCAUUUCGUUUUCCCUUACAGAUCAUACUUCGUCCGGUGUUGAUUGUUGUUGUUAUCGUUGUUGCUGUUGUUGACCUUGUAGUGGUUUAUUUAAUUACAUGCACGCUCCGGCAUAGAGUUAUAGCGCGCCUUGUUUUCUCGACGUAUACGCGGUUAUGAUGUUGUUGAGUGAACCGCCGCAGAUAAAUAUUUCGUAAGUAUCGCAGCAAUAAGAAGAGCGGCUCGAUGCUAAACGAGCUAGCCUUAAAUUGAGAAGUUUUCGCAACACGCUUUCUUGUGUUAUUUAGGUGUCCGAGUGGCGUCUGGCUGCAGUAGCGAAGGCUUUUAGACGCAUUCGCAGAGCUGUGACGUCAUCUGCGAAAUGCGCGCGUCAAUAACGGAAGCGACCCUGUACGCCUGUGCACACUGCAGUGUGAGCUGUGUCAAUCAGGGACGACUCAAUUUGAGGCUAGCUCGCGCAUUGCACAAAGACAUUUUAAGGACUAGUGUAAAAAAAAAAAAAGGCGUUUGUACUAUACAUGCCGCAUGAAAUUUGUUACACAUGUCGCGUUCGUUCCCUUCGGCCUCCGUUUGUGCCUGGUCGCUUGUUGUUUAUCGUUUCGAGCGAGGGGGAAAAAAAGAAGAAAUGAAUGGGAAAGAAAGGACAGAAUGAUAAGAUCGCAUCAAAUAAAAUCAAAGUUUAUAUUUAUUCCGCAAUAAAGGAGAUGUUCGUUUCACGAA
rnacentral:lncRNA from 1 species